UAAGACUAAAGGCGUGGGCUUAUUGAUUUAUGGUGUCCUGUGUUUCGUUGAGACGAGAUGUAGCUCUUCCAUUUCCAAGCGUUUUUGUACUUCUUCUUCUUCACUCCCUGAACCCACUUCAUCAUCUCCACGUCCUACCAGGCGAUCUAAGGCGGCGACGGCGGAACCGGUGGGGUCUUCGUCGGUGAGCGAGAUUCCGGUUUAGAAUCAAGGACCGGUUUCGGAUCCUGGAUCGGAAUCUGGAGAGCCGGAGCUUGGAUUCUCUGUCCGCAAGCUAUGGAUGCGGAGAAGCCUGUUUCAACUGAUGUGCCUGUGAUGGAGAUCUCUCCUGAAGCCGACACAAACCCUGAAGGCGAAAUCUUGGUGACACCUACAAUAGCAGGUUAAUUUUCAUGUUUUGAGUUAACUUUUGAUGUUGAGGAUAUGCAAGAGUUGAACGUGAAGCAUGCAAGACAACAGAUGAGUUAUUGCAAUAAGCUGGCAAAACUUGAUGGAGUACUAUACCGUGCUUUGACUGGAUAUAGGUCAGGUUUUUUUCGGAAAGUAAAAAAAAAAAUUAGUUUGCAUCUUGCUAAGGAGUUAACUGAUAAUCUUUAGCAUCUUGGUUAGCUAUUAUAUGUCUUGCGCUGUGUACUGUUAGUAGGAGAGAAACUGACUAUUCUCUACGGGUUUGAAUGUAAGGAUAAUGUUUGAGACCAACACACAUUUAUCUUGGAUCACAUCUGAUUUCUAGGAGGAUGCUCAUUCUGGUGCUACGUCUCAGUCUAUCCUUUCUCACGGAUCUCCUGGGUCAGAUUUCAUAUGGAAACCAGUUUCUUAUCAACUCAUGGCCCUAGAAAAUACAAAUAAAAAGGGAUCUGUCAGAGUAAAUGACUCUCAUCAAGACAACUUGCAGUGAUCGUGCCCAUACACUUAACACACAAUGGUUAACAUCCAAAAUUUGACAGGUCUACAACUGUCUGCGUCAUUGUUUUUUACGGCCAAACUAGCCUACUUCACCAAAAAUAAGAGUGGACAGGUGUCGAGCCUAAGAUUAUUCUUGCAAUAAUCAUUAGUUCCAAAUUCGUUGGAGGUCAUCUGAAUGCAACCUCUUGAACUCAUAUUUACAUUGACAAAGAAACGCAGUCGAGCCAAAGCUUAUUUGUUGGCGAAUUACGUCUUCAGGGUUUAACAAUGGGCAGUUCGUGUAAUAUUUUUAGUAAAGGUUUGGUAUGCUCCAAAAGAUAGCAUCACCAUUAGAAUUACCAGAACCUCGACAACACUUAGCAAUAAUAUUUUUAAAUUAUCACAACAUAUCUAAUUGUCAACAAGCGCGGGGUUUCGUCUCCUAGUAGAAAUAAAACCAAACACUUAACUUAAACUGCAAGUAAGGAUGUGAUACAUCAGCAUCCCACCAUGAUUAUGAUAUCGAUCCAUCAAGUUUCAACUUCCCACAAAAUCAGAGCUUUAAAUACUAAUUAACUUUUUUUUACUUUAUUAAAAGAUAAUUUUUCCCAGUUUUAACUUUUCUUUUCCAUAUUUCGGCUAAUAUUUUUCGGCCUUGUGGAAAAGAAAACCUAGCCACGCUUUUGGCCGCGCUCAGCAUUCCCUGUAUCUCUCCUUGCGAUUCAAGUUUCAAAAUCAUGGCGAAUCUAGGCGCAGAUCACUAUUUUCUUCAUAAUCGUCAGAAAUCUAGGAAGAGUGAGAGAACUGGACCUGGUCGGUCCAGUGACGAGGAAUCUCACUUACGUUUUAUCCCUUUAGUAAUCAAAAGAGUUCCCAAUAGUAUUCCAGAAUCUUCUUCAUUGACCAGGAAGUAUCAUCACAUUCCUUUCAAAAUGGAGGAGUGUUGUGAUGAAUUCGCCCAACCUUUUUUCACUGUUCCUGUUGAUAAGUAUGGGCAUUCGGGUUGGUCUCCGCUAGGAUCCUACUUCCUCACAUCUCACGACCACAGGGUUUUAAUUUGGGGCUCAAAAGAUUAUCUGAAUCACUUUGGCAGCCUCAUGUGUUUUAAUCACCAAAAGGUAGAACACUUUGAUGUAUCUCCUGGGGAGAAAUACUUGGUAACCUACAACAGACCAAAGCCAACAGACCAAACAUUCGGCCCAGCAUAUGUCAGAACUAAAAUGUUACAAGCACUAGACAUUAUCUGAAACACAUGCAACCUAGUUCUAUAAGCAUGGAUAGGCUGGGGCAUUUUUUCCAGAUCCGAAAA